CAGUGUCAAGAAAAGCUAUUCUAUAGGGCCAGCCUGGAUUAAAUAGCAGGCGAAGGACACGGGCAUUAUUAGCAGCAGCUCCAGUGUCAAAGUAUUUCUGUGUGCAUCUCAGGCAGCGAAGCCUUAGGCAGAAGGCAGCCUCCAGAGAAAGUAUGGGAUGAGGUUUCUAUUUUGUCAUUUAAGUAAUUAAUAGAUGGGUCGGUCAUUCUGCAUAGCUAGGCCUCCUGGUUUGCUUUAGAUCUCCUUCUUCGAGCCUUUAAGGUAACAAUUCAGGGAGGAAACCAGGCAGCCUUCCCUGGAAAAGCUAGAGCUCCUUAAAGAGAAGGCAAAGGUAGGCCUGUUGUAACACAUCUGAUCAAUUUGUGGUUUUGUUAUGUGCUUUCAAAAUCUUUAUACAAGUGAAAAAAUGCUGAUGAAUGCUCCUAUUUUCCACUGAGUACUUACUGCCUUACAAACCAACACAAGUGAGCGGAGCCUGCAGUAGAUCUUUACAGGAAAAACAUGACGCUUUCAUGAGGGCUCAUAGAAGAACUAGUUCUUCAGGCUGCUAAGGACACUUCUCUCUCCAGAAGGACCCAAGAAGAUUUGGAUCUUCAGAGGACAUGGGGAUGUCAUUGAUAUUUGAACCUGAAUGUAACAGCUCUAUUCACACUCAAAUUAUACAUUUGAGUUACUCCCAUUAAUAAAUUUUACUGUUGAAGUGGACUGUACUUCGCA
rnacentral:lncRNA from 1 species